rnacentral:lncRNA from 1 species
CCAGAGACAAGUGGAAACAUUGGCUAUAUUACCAAGGCUUUGACUGGAAUGUCAUUUUCAAGAGAGGUAUACAUAGACUCAGUGUCUGAUAAUAAGCAUGCAUUUCUUUUGAAGCAAGAGAAAAAAACAAAAUUUAGUAUCUUAAAAAAUACAUAUCUUGUCUUUACAAGGCUUAGUGUCUAGACAGAGAAAGACACAUGUAAAUACCAUAAUACAUGGUAGAAUGAAAUAAGCCCCCAUUGGAGGUGAGGGAGAAAUGGUUGUGUCAAGUACAGUUUCAC